AGCUUGCUCCCCGCUGACGAGCGGCGGACGGGUGAGUAAUGCAUAGGAAACUGCCCAGUAGUGGGGGAUAGCCCGGGGAAACCCGGAUUAAUACCGCAUACGCCCUUUGGGGGAAAGCAGGGGAUCUUCGGACCUUGCGCUAUUGGAUGUGCCUAUGUCGGAUUAGCUAGUUGGUGGGGUAAGAGCCUACCAAGGCGACGAUCCGUAGCUGGUCUGAGAGGAUGAUCAGCCACAUCGGGACUGAGACACGGCCCGAACUCCUACGGGAGGCAGCAGUGGGGAAUAUUGGACAAUGGGGGCAACCCUGAUCCAGCCAUGCCGCGUGUGUGAAGAAGGCUUUCGGGUUGUAAAGCACUUUCAGUGAGGAGGAAAACCUUACGACUAAUACUCGUGAGGCUUGACGUUACUCACAGAAGAAGCACCGGCUAACUCCGUGCCAGCAGCCGCGGUAAUACGGAGGGUGCAAGCGUUAAUCGGAAUUACUGGGCGUAAAGCGCGCGUAGGUGGUUUGAUAAGCGAGAUGUGAAAGCCCCGGGCUCAACCUGGGAACGGCAUUUCGAACUGUCAGGCUAGAGUAUGGUAGAGGAGUGUGGAAUUUCC
rnacentral:rRNA from 1 species